CUGGGAGGGAGGAGAGAGGGAUUUGGACUUCUGGAGUAAUUGGUUGCGGUGGUAGUUGGGUACAGAAGUCUUUAUGGACAGCAAGGCUCCACUUCGUGGCCUAAUGACAAAAUGUGCCGUAUUUGACCUGGUGCUAUGCUAUUUGACAGGUACACAACCAAAUAACCAAAUAACAUAAUUCCAGUCUUGCGCUGAAAAUGAUUACACAAGAAUUCUGUGGCUUCUUCUUAGAUGAAUUGUAGGUAAGGAAUGUGCUCUUCGAUUUCUCUGUCCGCUGAAAAUUCGCCGGUCAUUUUAAUUGAUUUUUGCAGCCUUGUGUUCAGCUGGUUUGUUGUGCAGCUGAACACGGCACACAUUAUUUUUCUUGAUUCAUACCUGUGAGCAGAAACGCUAAUAUCUGUUACGUGAUGCUGACCGUUGGCUGAAAUUAUUUUUUUUAGGAAAGACGAGAGCGAAUGGUGGGAAGCCAACGGAAGUGUUGCUGAUUUGUGGCGGCGGCGGCGGCGGCGGCUAAAGAGCCAGCGCGCAGGGGCUGGCUUGGAGUAGUUUAACGAGACGGUCGUUCGUGGCUAAUCAGUCAGGACUUCGUCAUUCAUUGCUAAUACUUUGCUAACGUUCAGGUUUCCACUACCGAUUAUUCGAACUUUGAUCUGGUCACCUCCUGUUUUCUCUGGUGAGGUCUUCUAGAAUGGCACGGUCGGACUAGACCAAAGAACACGGUGCGUACCAGUACCAGGCCUGUCUCUCUGCAAUGCGAGUGCUGUCGUUUGUCACAUGAUAGCGGUGUCGUGAAUUGUCAUCGAUUAAAGAGAUGCUACUAGUAUUUUGUGAGAGUGAGACGCUGACGAGUGUGUUACGUCCGUGGUCUGAUCUCUUUUGUCCUUGAACCGACCGAGUAGAUACUCCUAUUUUGGUGGUAGGGAUAUGUAUAUAUGUACAGAGAUGAUAUUCUGGUCUCAAU
rnacentral:lncRNA from 1 species